rnacentral:rRNA from 1 species
UACGAAGGGUGCAAGCGUUAAUCGGAAUUACUGGGCGUAAAGGGUGCGUAGGCGGUUCGUUAAGUCUGUCGUGAAAUCCCCGGGCCCAACCUGGGAAUGGCGAUGGAUACUGGCGAGCUAGAGUGUGUCAGAGGAUGGUGGAAUUCCCGGUGUAGCGGUGAAAUGCGUAGAGAUCGGGAGGAACAUCAGUGGCGAAGGCGGCCAUCUGGGACAACACUGACGCUGAAGCACGAAAGCGUGGGGAGCAAACAGG